CUGGAUUCCAGGAGUAUGGUUCCAGUGCUUAGCUGUGGAUGCCUGUUUCUGCUUGGAAGAGCCAAGCUCUUGAAGGCUCUAGGAAUGGUAAACAAGCCCUACUGGCCCGAACCAAAUCAUGCUACAAGUCAAGUGUCAAGUUACACCAAAGGAGGAUACGAUGUAAUGGGUGAGCUACAGACCCUGGAGCACACAGGCUGAGAUAAAAUCUCCACUCCAUCACAUACCACAUACUCUACCACUGUGACCCCGGACAAGUAGAUUUCUAUCUUCUUAAUUGUCUUGCAGAGCUGUUGUAGGAGUUAAGAGCAGAGUACAGUGUCUCGUGCACAGUACUCAAUAUACAUGAAGAAAGAAUUCUGCUUAUUUCUUGAGUAAGGGAGCAAUGAUAUUUCUGCUAUUAUUUGACACACAGGCACAAAGAUGAUAAUUUAAUUCCCUUUUGUUUUAUCCCCCACAGUUAUGAUUGCAAUCAUCCAAGUUACAAUCACAUUAUUUGGGAUAGUUGUUAUCUAACAAUAAAG
rnacentral:lncRNA from 1 species